rnacentral:lncRNA from 1 species
AGCUGAGACGCCCCUGAUGCCCCCUCACGCACCUGUGUGGUGUGGCUGCCCUUGGAACCAGCUGCUUCUGACGUAGUCCAGGUGCACGGUGGCCCUGAGCUCCUCCAGAGAGGUGUGGGGUGACGCUCUUGGGGUGCACGCGUACUGUGGUUCUGGUCUGAGGGACACGGGGGACUCCUGGGGGUCGCCCUGUGACAGGUUUCCAUGACCCGCAGUCUGCCUCUCCCCUGUGGACACUGGCCCCUGGUGCCCAGCGCCCCCACUCCUCAGCAUAGCCUGCACAGCCGUCAAGGCCGCAUGUCCGCCCUGGGGUGAGGGACGGCCUCACGGCUGCCCAGGGGUGAGGGACAGGAAGCAAGCAACACGAGAAAUUUCUUAAAACAGAUCACAGUGGCUACAGGUGACCUUUUCCUCCUUCCCUCCACGCUGGGGUCCUGGCCCAGCCCAGCUGCGGAUGGAGGGAGGCCCCUGACUCAUGGGAGACGGGUCCCAGGGGUGGCACAAGCCCGUGGUCGUGGAGGCGUCCAGGCGGGGAGAUGCUGGCCCUCGCCCCGGAGCCGGGCGUCAGGUCAGACCUGGGCAGCCGCAGCCUCGUCCAGAGGCUCAAUGUUGUCUGAGCAGUAUCUCGGGAUGCUCGUGGCCUUCUCCUCAAGGUUGCUGCCUCAUGGUCACAACACGGCUGCCACAGGUCCAGGCAUUGUGUGUGUGUGCAGACCAGGGAGAAACAGGGAGGAGCCACUAGCCAUAUCUGCCCCCAUUUGUCCUGAAAGCAAAAGCCCCAAACGUCUCCAGAAGACUGUCCUUUAGGUCCCAGGGCCACUCUUUGCUGCAAAAGAGUCUGGGAAAUAAGGAACAGAUUUGACCUAGUCUUGACCGAUUGCCUGGGCUGAAUAUGUUGUCUCUGGGGCAGACACUACCACUGCAUACCCAUUCUUUCCCUCUUGAUUUUUAGGAAUGGAACCCCUCAAUUUUAUCUGUAUUACCCCAAAUAAAGCCCGAUUCUCUAUCUCCUUUACA